rnacentral:rRNA from 1 species
UACAGAGGUGGCAAGCGUUGUUCGGAAUUACUGGGCGUAAAGGGCUCGUAGGCGGCCAACUAAGUCAGACGUGAAAUCCCUCGGCUUAACCGGGGAACUGCGUCUGAUACUGGAUGGCUUGAGUUCGGGAGAGGGAUGUGGAAUUCCAGGUGUAGCGGUGAAAUGCGUAGAUAUCUGGAGGAACACCGGUGGCGAAGGCGGCAUCCUGGACCGACACUGACGCUGAUGAGCGAAAGCCAGGGGAGCCAAACGGG